CACUUAACCCUUUAAAGCAUAGUGGUCCCACCACGGGAUCACCUUUUUGUUUAUUUUCUGUUUCUAGCAGCACUGUGGUUCCGCCGUGGGACCACUUUUACUGUCUGCUUUGUGCUUCUAUCUAUCGGAAAAAAAUGUGAACUACGUCCUCAAACUCAUACCAGCUGUUGCUAGCAGCCAUUCAAUCGUGGUUGUUCACUCCAUACUGACAGAUAGACGCUAACCUAUGUUUUGGUGUUGUAAAACUACAUUUAACAUUUCAUCUAAACAAGCAAAGUGAAGGAGCCACUUUAUCUCUGAAACAGUUCAGGAUCAACUUAUCACAAAGCUUGAUGUCCAGUGACAAGACUAGAAAUGGAAGCGGGAGAAAGAAGAAAAAUACCAUGUCCAGUUUCAAGAAAAAUAUUUCCACAGAAAUCAGAAGCAGUGGAAAUGUGCACCUACCUAUACAUAUGAGUAAGAGAAGAUGCGCCAACUGCAGCACAAAGGAGAAUCCUCAUCGUUCUUUUUGGGGUUGUAAAGCGUGUGAUGUUGCGUUGUGUUUGACUCAAGAAAGAAACUGCUUUCUGAAAUACCAUUCUGCCUAGUACAAGAAAAAAGUUUGAAUCAUGCAACAAUGCAUCCAAAUGUACAUAUUUUUCAAUAAAUUGAUGUUUUUAUUCUA